UGGGGAAUAUUGGACAAUGGGCGAAAGCCUGAUCCAGCCAUGCCGCGUGUGUGAAGAAGGUCUUCGGAUUGUAAAGCACUUUAAGUUGGGAGGAAGGGCAGUAAGCGAAUACCUUGCUGUUUUGACGUUACCGACAGAAUAAGCACCGGCUAACUCUGUGCCAGCAGCCGCGGUAAUACAGAGGGUGCAAGCGUUAAUCGGAAUUACUGGGCGUAAAGCGCGCGUAGGUGGUUCGUUAAGUUGAAUGUGAAAGCCCCGGGCUCAACCUGGGAACUGCAUCCAAAACUGGCGAGCUGGAGUAGGGCAGAGGGUGGUGGAAUUUACUGUGUAGCGGUGAAAUGCGUAGAUAUAGGAAGGAACAACAGUGGCGAGGGCGACCACCUGGGCUCAUACUGACACUGAGGUGCGAAAGCGUGGGGAGCAAACAGG
rnacentral:rRNA from 1 species